AGUACUUCCUCGCCCCGUCUGAAACUGAAAGCUGUUUGGGGGAUAUGAAAUUUAACUAUUUAGCCAAAAUGCCCACAACAAAAUCAUAUAAUCAAAAUUAUGCCCCUUUAAAACAUAAUGCACGAAAAGAACUAAAGGUGGAGAGCGCCCUCAGCAGUUCUCAGGAACCCUAAUGCACGAAAGAACCCUAAUCAGCCUUGGCUCCCACCCUUCCCACGCGAUUGAGAUGAAAUGGAUAUGUAUGUAAAUUGGUGUGGCCAAUGGUGAUUUCUUGACAUAGCAAGCCUAAUGCUACAAGGAAUACACGGUGAAACUCAACUUGCAACUACCUCAGAAGGUUAGUUGGUGUGGGUUAACCCUGAAGGAUCACAUGGCUGUCCUCAUCAAGUACACAUUUAGAGCCAUUAGCCAUCUUAUGGCCUUUUUAACUUGCUCGCCUUGCAUCACAUUGUCAGUUUUAUUGCCUUCUCGGCCUGGUACCAGCCGCCUGUAACAUAUGCUUCUUUUCUUUGGCAGGCUUCAUUAUUCUCAUAGGAAAUUGUGUUUGAAACUGAAAUUUAGUAAGGGUGGGCCUUUGUUGAGCUAAGUCAAAUACAAAUUUGUAAUGUUGAAGGAAAAACAAAGAAAAUUAUAACCUUUGCUUGUGGUUGCAGGCUGUAUCCGUGCCUACUGCCUCAUAUCUGAACCGAUCUACAAAGGUCCCAGAUUGAGUAGAAAAUGGCAAAUGGCAAACUGUAAGUAAUUCAAUGUUGAAGGAUUUAGAAGGGAUAUCUCAUCAAUAUGACUAAGGGCAAUUGUUCCAUACAGUGAUACCUCCUAAGCUUGGUGCACUUAAUCUGCAUGAUGGUAUCACCAAUACUUGGUCCAUGCUUCGUCAGGGAAGACUAACCAAGUUGUUGGCUUGUCAGCUGGGAUUAGGCUGUUGGUACUAGAUACCUCAUGUCGGUGUUGUGCAGCGUGUCGGGAUUUAGCUAUAGAGUUACAGGUUUUAAUAAGGGCAGAUAUAGUUUCUCCAGAAAAGUAAAAAAGGGAAAAAGAGGGCAGACUAAGUACAAGGCCAAAACUAGAAAAUAACCUUAGACCAACUGAUCAUGCAUGGUAGCAUUUGUCUGAAUUAUUUCUUUGUUGAUAGAAAUGACAAGGUUCUACCUUACUAGUAGCAACAACAAAAGUGAAGGGCGGAAAGAAUAUGUCGAUUACCUCGAAAAUAGGAGACUGCAUAUCAGUCUUUUAAAAAUGAGAGGAAGGAAACCAAGGUUCAUGUUUUCUUUUGAUUAGAGGUGUUAAAGGUCACCAUCCAAGAUAUGCUAUACCUUCUAGCCUCCAGGGUCCAAGUCCAUGAUGACAUUUUGUCUCAGGACAAGAGGUAUUCUAUCUCAAAGUCUUCCUUGGGCUGGGCUAGCUCCCCAUGGAGCCAAAUGCCACCUGCGUAGCUAUGUGAAAGACUCAGUAGUCUCACCUCCUCCAUAGUGGUGGGUAUAGUCUCCAGUCUUCAUAUUUUUUUCCCCUCAGAAGGAUGUAGUCAUCCUCCAUUUCAAGUUAGAGUCCAAGCCGUCCACAUGAACUUAUGAUAGCAAGAAUCAACAUAACCUUGUAAAGAAAAAAAAAGUUAAAAAAUGGAACCAUUAGAAAUUUGCCUGUCCAUGGGCCAUUGGACAAGUAAAUACCGGAAUAAUAGACAAGCAUCUUCUUGAGUGUUUCAUCUCUUUGCACUGCAUCAGAGCUUCUAAAUACCCAAGUAUAGCCUGUCUGAUACCAUCACCAAUCAUUCAACAUCCUAUCCAAACACGUGGCAUCCAAUGCAUGCGUAGGUGCUUGCAAUUCUCUUUUCUACCCUCCUCAGCCUACAUGCUGGAGACCCUGAUAUCAUUGGAUUCCAUAGUCCUGAAUCACCCUAGAUAUUCUGUCAAUCAUGAACAGUGUAAUGUUUUUAAGUGGAUAUGUUCUUGUUGAUUUUCACAAUUCCAUUUAGAUGUCACCAUAAGACAGUCAUUAGUUUCAUUGGAAGUCUCUCUUUCUUUUAACUUAGCAGUAUCUCUUUAUGAGUAGGAUAAGGUCUCAAGGCAGUUAUCUCAAUCAACUAAGGAGCAGUAUCUCUUAUUCUCUCCCCCUCUUCUGUUAGACUUCCACAUCAGCUUUUUCAUCUCUGUCAUGCUUUUCUGUUCAUUGGUCCCUUCUUGUUACUUCUUCUUUUUGGUAAAAGUUUGUUUUAAAGAAGCCAAACGGACCACUUACAAAAAUAUUACCUGAUUCUUUUCCAAUAUAGCGGUAGCCUGAAUAUUAUCAUCAAGAGAUUAAACUUGAAGCUUGCUAGGACUGCAUCUGACCGUGGUUUCGUUGGCGUCGUAGCUUGCUCCAAUGCAAGUUAGGUUUAUAUUUUUAUUCCGGUUGAAACUUUUUCUUCUGUCAACUGAUCCUGUGGGGAAUGAUCUUCCUCUCGAUGGUUUCUGGUUCUGGUUCAGUUGAAUGGCAAGCCUCCAUCAUUUCUCUAAUCCAAUCUCUGAGUACAGACAACAACAGUAACCAUGUGUUCGGAGAACCAGAAGUUGACAAACUUCAAACCAAAAUCAGGAACAAAAUAGGCUAUUACAUUGAAAUAUGACCAUAAGAAAAUAUGACUCACCUUGGUUUCUGAAGAGAGAAGAUAUGAUUUAGUUGUCAAUUCACUCAAUUGGUGGGUGAUGAUGAGAAAGUUUUCCAAACAGUUUUGAACAUGUCGCUAAUGGACUUUUCUGUUUAUUGUUUGGACAGUAUCUGCGACUGGUUUCUCCUAGAUUGGAGAGCAGGUUUCUUUUCAUCGAUGGGCGACCUUUUUAAAGUCGAACAUCAGUUUAUAAAACUCAUUUCAUAUGACAUAAAUCAGCAAUUUGAUCCUUAAGUCUUCCCUAAAUACUUUACCAGUAUUAUUUGCAGGAAAGCUGUAUAUGAUAAUAUCUGGAUUUCAAGAGGGUGCUGAAUGAUACUUCAAAAUUAAGAUUGCUAUCUACAAUCAAGAGGGCGUGAAACAAAGUUUCACCACCGCUUGCUAAGUAUCCAGAAUAGCAAAACAAAGUUCAUCAGUUAUAGAAUGUGUUCGACAUGAACAACAGAGAAUCACUGCUUUUUUGCUGGCAUGCAUUACUAGUUAUUGAUAAAUUCGGACCAAGUCCAACCCUUGAUUAUUUGUUCCUAUGUAUAUUACCAAGAUCUAAGACAUGUCCUCUUGGGUACCUCUGAAGACGUGCCAUUUAAGGUGACUAAGGGUACCGUCGUAUACUCAUAAAAAGGGUUACAAUGUGCUUCAAAGGGCACUAAGACACCCUACAUGCACUCUCGUCAGCAGAGCUUUUAUUUGUCAUUAAAAGGUGGUUGAUUCCAACAAGCUCCUCAUUCCGGUGCUUCGGACUGGGGACAUGUUUGUGUUUGUGUUCUGUUGGCCGGCGACUAGAGCUUCGGCAUCCUAUCAAACACGGAGGGUUUGUGUUUGUGUUCUAUUGGCGGGCGACUAGAGCUUGGGCAUCCUAUCAAACAUAGAGGUCCCCACGGUAUAUGGCAGCGACAUCGUCGGGCAAUCGGAAACAGAAAUGAAGGAAAACAGGGUGGAAACAAGGGGGUUAUGUGGUGUAAUCUAGUGAUCUCUCCAUGAGAUCUCAGUCGGCGAUGAUGGCCCGAUCAGGGGUGUGUUUGGGCGAUAGUGGCAGCAUUGGUACUAACUCCUGCGAGGCGCCGAUUGGAGUGUACAACAAGGGUUUUGGCAGCACAAUCAUGAGGAAGGAAUUAGGGCAGCGAUUGGCGAAAAGGACUGGUGAUCGUCGGAGUGCCUUAAGGGGUCGUGGAUGAGUUAUACGAGCAGAGGCUAACUCUAGAAAUAAAUAAAUGAAUCUAUUCUUCUGUCUGUUGGAAUGGAUUGAAAUGCGCAUGCUACAAGUUGAGUUUUGGUUGGAUGGUGAUGAGUUCCAAAUAAAGAAAAUCAUCCAUGAGAAAGAUCUAUCUCUAAAAAAAAAGAUACAAGAUAUAUAGGAUAUAUUAUAAUUUUAACCAAUAUAUAUAUAAUACUUUUAAUAUUGUUUGUUUAAACAUCAAAAGUAAAAUUACAAAGAUAUUGCUUAUUAAGGCCUUUCAAUAUACAUGAUUCUUGUUCAAACUUCUAAAUUAAGGCUACAUCAAAACAAAUAUUUUUCUGGUUAUUUCAAUACCUAUAUGCUUCAUCAGUCACUAGAAAGAAUGGAUACUAACUUCUAACAUGAAAAUGGGGGACCAAAUUCAUUGUUCGAAGAGUUUAACUUUCUGCUACUUUUUAAAAGUGGCAAACAUACAACUUCAUAUGCAUCCAAAUGCCGGGUAUGUAUCGAGAUAUGUAUCCAACAUGGAUUUUUGGUGCCAGACACAAAUGUUCAGAUAACACAGAUUUUGUUAGCUACUUGAUGAUGACAAGAUUAAUCAUUCUUGGCUGCUGCUUAGCGUCGACAACUUUAUCUGCCAUUGCUGUCAACAUUUUCUAAAUCCUUCAUCAAACCAUUGCUCAUGUUAUUUUGCUCUUAAUUCAUAAACCCUUAAUGCAUAUACGUCUCUCUUCUAAAUAAGCUCUCCUUAGAUCUUAUUGCCCUUGCCUAUGCCAUUUUAGUUGGAGCUCAUGCUCUACUUCUGCCUACUGAUUUUUUUUGUUUUAUCUCUAUUCUUUUUUUGUAUUUUUUGUGGUGGUGCUGGGUAAUGUCCUGCGUCAAUCUAUAUUUUCAUCCCAGUUGAGCUCGUUUUAUUUGUCGGACUAUUGGGGUUCUCUUUAUUUUCCAACAUGUUGACCCAUGUGGCAUCUCAAGUCUUGCCUGUCUUGGUAUAUGUUGGUUUAUGUAACAAAAGCAUGCUUGAUCGCAUACACCACUAGAAGUAACUCUGUACAACACUUUAACGACAACUAGAUUGAUUGAGGCUGCUUAAAUUUCUGUUGAUCUUGAAAGUGCAUUCAGUUCUAGUCUCAAAUCAUAUUGAUUUCCAGGCCCUUAUCUUUUAAAAUUUUGUCAGCAUGUUUUGAAUUUGGAUUAACCUAGUCAGGGGCAGUGGUGAGGAUGAGGGAGAGAAGAAAGCCAGAGGGACUGCGAUAAGCGUGGGAUGAGAGGAAAGUAUAGCUGCAUGCAAUGUUCAUAUGUACCAGGAUCAAAAUUUUGUUGAUCAGGGAUUUUACAAACUUUAAAAGCAAUGCCUUCCCAUUGCCUUCCCUCUCAUUAGCUUUUCUUGAUUCCUCCACAUUUUUAGGUAAAAUAAUACCUCCAUUUAUUGUGGAUGAAACAAACUCUAAUUUGAGCGUGGACCAUUUGACCUAUAAUAAUGUAUACUUGAUUCCCAACUCUUUGAUAAGUUUUAUAAUGAACUGCAAGUAAGUAUAUUUUAGGUGUUUCUCUCUAAA